UGUAAGGUGAUGCAAUCGGAACUGUAUU
rnacentral:sRNA from 1 species